rnacentral:rRNA from 1 species
UACGUAGGUGGCGAGCGUUGUCCGGAUUUACUUGGGCGGUAAAGGGAGCGUAGGCGGACUUUUAAGUGAGAUGUGAAAUACCCGGGCUCAACUUGGGUGCUGCAUUUCAAACUGGAAGUCUAGAGUGCAGGAGAGGAGAAUGGAAUUCCUGGUGUAGCGGUGAAAUGCAUAGAUAUCAGGAGGAACAUCGGUGGCGAAGGCGGCUUUCUGGACUGACACUGACGCUGAGGCUCGAAAGCGUGGGGAGCAAACAGGAUUAGA